UACGGAAGGCAGCAGUGGGGAAUAUUGCACAAUGGGCGAAAGCCUGAUGCAGCUAUGCCGCGUGUAUGAAGAAGGCCUUAGGGUUGUAAAGUACUUUCAUCGGGGAGGAAAAAACAAAACUAAUAAUUUUAUUUCUUGACGUUACCCGAAAAAGAAGCACCGGCUAACUCCGUGCCAGCAGCCGCGGUAAUACGGAGGGUGCUAGCGUUAAUCAGAAUUACUGGGCGUAAAGAGCACGUAGGUGGUUUUUUAAGUUCAGAUGUGAAAUCCCUGGGCUUUAACCUAGGAACUGCAUUUUGAAACUGAAAUACUAGAGUAUCGUAGAGGGAGGUAGAAUUCUAGGUGUAGCGGUGAAAUGCGUAGAUAUCUGGAGGAAUACCUGUGGCGAAAGCGGCCUCCUAAACGAAUACUGACACUGAGGGUGGCGAAAGCGUGGGGAGCAAACAGGGAUUAGAUACC
rnacentral:rRNA from 1 species